UACGGGGGGGGCAAGCGUUGUUCGGAAUCACUGGGCGUAAAGGGUGCGUAGGCGGGUCUUUAAGUCAGGGGUGAAAUCCUGGAGCUCAACUCCAGAACUGCCUUUGAUACUGAGGAUCUUGAGUACGGGAGAGGUGAGUGGAACUGCGAGUGUAGAGGUGAAAUUCGUAGAUAUUCGCAAGAACACCAGUGGCGAAGGCGGCUCACUGGCCCGUAACUGACGCUGAGGCACGAAAGCGUGGGGAGCAAACAGG
rnacentral:rRNA from 1 species